UUUCGUGGGGGUCUAACUGUUUGUUAGGAUUCCUGGUUUCCACCCAGGUGGCCCGGGAUCAACUCCCAGUGUGGAAA